rnacentral:lncRNA from 1 species
UAACCCAGGCACCAUAGAUAGCAUAGCCAACUCAAUGUGAAAAGGAAAACUGGGUAUGAAAAAAAAAGCCAAAGCAUUGGUACACUUGUAAACAUCCUUCAGUUUAUUCAUGGACACUACAUGAAUAUUCAUUGGUUACCUAGUGAUGAUCUGCUGUGAGCAAGCGGUUGGCCACACUGGGACAGAAGAGUCGGACAUGAACUUUGCUCUUAAGGAAGUUUCUUGCUGGUUAAGGGAGAGUUAGGCAGACCGUGAAAGGCCUCAUGUGAACUAGCGACCUUCUGACUUUGUGGAGAGAUUCCCAGAAAACAAACCAGAAGCUUCUCUUCCUGUGUCAACAGGAAGUGACCUGGUGUGACAUGGGGAUAAAUGGAAAUCAGAAAUAAUCAAGCAAGAUGCAUAUACCAAGUGUCCGCCUGGGCUCAACUCUGCAUGGGGCUAAGAGCUUGGCUUGGGAUUAGACCGACCUGGAUUCAAAUAUCUGCUGUGGGAUUUCAUGAAAAAGCCACACACUGGCUUUGGGACCUUUGGUAACUCUUCACUCCUCCAGGCAUCAGUUGGACAGUGGGGAUAUGGGUAUCCCCCCCUGGCCAGGUUGUUUGGAGGAGAACAUGAGCGGAUGCUGACAAAUGAUUGGUCCACCCUACUGAGACGGAUCUGCCUCCAAUCUGGGCCUCCAUGAGUCCAGGGGCUCUUUCUUCCAGCAAAUCCAGGACUGACUUAUUGUGGAGACGACUGCCAGGUGACAACGCUGGGACACCUUCAGAGGAGGGGGUCGGUGGUGACUCCAAACCUCACCAGGGAUCCCGGCUUGCCACGGCCUCCACAUCCAGUGACAACAGAAAAGGACGCGCACAGAAAGGAGUGGUCAGCGUUUUGCUGACUGCCCUUCCUUCUUCAAGCCCAUUAGAGAAGUCCAACCGCAGGUCCGUAGAGAGGGCACCUCCACCGCUAAUGCCCCGCCACUCAGGGAGCAGGACAGGGAGGCAGUGGGGAGGCCGCCCCCUCUUCUUCCACCAUCGGAGCCCAAAGCCAUCCUCCAUCAUGCCUUCUUUUCCAGUCUGCAUCUGCACAUCAACCCCCAUCCCUGGUCCCUGACACACAAUACUGAAUAAAUAUGCCUGGCCCGGGUCCA